GGCGUUGUGGUUCAGUGGUAGAACGCUCACCUAGCAUGUGAGAGGCACUGUGCUCAAUCCUCAGCACCA
rnacentral:tRNA from 1 species